rnacentral:lncRNA from 1 species
UUGUAGAAAGAGAUCUACUUGAGUGGUUGGCUGGUCUUGAACCUGGUCAGCAUGGAUAUGGUAAUGAAGGUGAUAGGGCAGAAAGUGGUGACCAGUUAAGUGAUGAGGAUGAAAGUGACGAGGGCGAAAUCACCCAUGCUGUACCAUUCAAGUGCAUUGGUGCUGCUCAUGAGAAAAAUUACCAACAUCAACAGCAUACCUUGCUCUUCAUGGACAAGAUAAACCAGUGAAUGUAAGAAUAUGGCCAGAGCCAUUGAAUCCAAUGGACCCAAGUGCAAUUGCAAUUGAUGUAGACUAUGGAACUGGAUGGACACACAUUGGUUAUCUUGCUUCUCAACUAUGCGAGUAUUUGCACUCACUAAUUGCCACAGGAGAUAUGUUAGAGGUCUAUGUUCAGCAUAUCAAGUAUAGGGUUAACUUUUUUAAAAUAGGAUUUUAUCAAAAAAUUUUCAUAAAGCGACGUGGUGAGUGGGAGACUCAAGUGGUAAGAAAGAGCACAAGUGUACGUUGACAGAUGUUUGUGAUAUAAUUGUAACUGACUAGAUUUAGCAAGUUAUAGAAAUGAUCUUAUUUCAAUUAGGUAACUUUUUAGAUUUUCAUAAACAAAAACUAGGUUAAUCAUAAGUGGGUGUGCACAAUUAAAAUAAAAC